GGGUUGUGAGGUUAAGCGACUAAGCGUACACGGUGGAUGCCCUGGCAGUCAGAGGCGAUGAAGGGCGUGCUAAUCUGCGAUAAGCGCCGGUAAGGUGAUAUGAACCGUUAUAACCGGCGAUACCCGAAUGGGGAAACCCAGUGUGACUCGUCACACUAUCAUUAACUGAAUCCAUAGGUUAAUGAGGCGAACCGGGGGAACUGAAACAUCUAAGUACCCCGAGGAAAAGAAAUCAACCGAGAUUCCCCCAGUAGCGGCGAGCGAACGGGGAGGAGCCCAGAGCCUGAAUCAGCAUGUGUGUUAGUGGAAGCGUCUGGAAAGGCGCGCGAUACAGGGUGACAGCCCCGUACACAAAAGCGCAUGUGCUGUGAGCUCGAUGAGUAGGGCGGGACACGUGGUAUCCUGUCUGAAUAUGGGGGGACCAUCCUCCAAGGCUAAAUACUCCUGACUGACCGAUAGUGAACCAGUACCGUGAGGGAAAGGCGAAAAGAACCCCGGCGAGGGGAGUGAAAAAGAACCUGAAACCGUGUACGUACAAGCAGUGGGAGCCCCACCACCAAAGCAUUUGCUGUACCGCGUUGACGGAGCGAAGCGACGUCAAACCGAUAAAACAGCAGUGUAAAGUGAGCCGCAGGGCGCUUUGCGCGACAGCGCAAAGGCAGGCGGUUUCGCGUAGCGAAAGCGAAUGCUUUGGGGUGGGGUGACUGCGUACCUUUUGUAUAAUGGGUCAGCGACUUAUAUUCUGUAGCAAGGUUAACCGAAUAGGGGAGCCGGAGGGAAACCGAGUCUUAAUUGGGCGUUAAGUUGCAGGGUAUAGACCCGAAACC
rnacentral:rRNA from 2 species